rnacentral:tRNA from 1 species
GUAAGGGUAGUUUAACGGUAGAACAACCAAUUUAAAUUGGCAGGAAUGGGUUCGACUCCCAACCAUUACA